rnacentral:tRNA from 1 species
GUGGCAGUAGCCCAACGGUAGAGCCCUCGCCUGAUAAGCGAAGAGGCCCGGGUUCAGCUCCCGGUUGUUUCU